rnacentral:rRNA from 1 species
UACGUAGGGUGCAAGCGUUAUCCGGAAUUAUUGGGCGUAAAGAGCUCGUAGGCGGUUUGUCGCGUCUGCUGUGAAAACCCGAGGCUCAACCUCGGGCCUGUAGUGGGUACGGGCAGACUAGAGUGCGGUAGGGGAGAUUGGAAUUCCUGGUGUAGCGGUGAAAUGCGCAGAUAUCAGGAAGAACACCUAUGGCGAAGGCAGCACUCUGGGACGGUACUGACGCUGAGACGCGAAAGCGUGGGGAGCGAACAGG